rnacentral:rRNA from 1 species
AUUGAACGCUGGCGGAAUGCUUUACACAUGCAAGUCGAGCGGCAGCGCGGGGGCAACCCUGGCGGCGAGCGGCGAACGGGUGAGUAACAUAUCGGAACGUACCCAGUCGUGGGGGAUAACUAUCCGAAAGGAUAGCUAAUACCGCAUACGUCCUGAGGGAGAAAGCGGGGGAUCGCAAGACCUCGCGCGAUUGGAGCGGCCGAUAUCGGAUUAGCUAGUUGGUGGGGUAAAGGCUCACCAAGGCGACGAUCCGUAGCUGGUCUGAGAGGAUGAUCAGCCACACUGGAACUGAGACACGGUCCAGACUCCUACGGGAGGCAGCAGUGGGGAAUAUUGGACAAUGGGGGCAACCCUGAUCCAGCCAUGCCGCGUGUGUGAAGAAGGCCUCGGUUGUAAG